rnacentral:rRNA from 1 species
GAUGAACGCUGGCGGCGUGCCUAAUACAUGCAAGUCGAGCGAACAGAUAAGGAGCUUGCUCCUUUGACGUUAGCGGCGGACGGGUGAGUAACACGUGGGUAACCUACCUAUAAGACUGGGAUAACUUCGGGAAACCGGAGCUAAUACCGGAUAACAUUUGGAACCGCAUGGUUCUAAAGUGAAAGAUGGUUUUGCUAUCACUUAUAGAUGGACCCGCGCCGUAUUAGCUAGUUGGUAAGGUAACGGCUUACCAAGGCAACGAUACGUAGCCGACCUGAGAGGGUGAUCGGCCACACUGGAACUGAGACACGGUCCAGACUCCUACGGGAGGCAGCAGUAGGGAAUCUUCCGCAAAGGGCGAAAGCCUGACGGAGCAACGCCGCGUGAGUGAUGAAGGGUUUCGGCUCGUAAAACUCUGUUAUUAGGGAAGAACAAACGUGUAAGUAACUGUGCACGUCUUGACGGUACCUAAUCAGAAAGCCACGGCUAACUACGUG